AGGUGGUCCCACUCCUUCCCAUCCCGAACAGGACAGUGAAACGCCUCUGCGCCGAUGAUAGUGCGGAUUCCCGUGUGAAAGUAGGACAUCGUCAGGC
rnacentral:rRNA from 1 species